GCCUACUACUGCUGCAAGCUGGCAGAGCUGGUCCCCCAGCAGAGCCCCACACUCUGGGGACAAAGGCAGUGGUGCCAGCAGAGGUGCAGGCAGGCAGCGACGGGGGUUCGGUUCCCGGCGCCGCUGCGGAUUGUGUGUGCGACCUUGGGCCCAGUGCGGAAAAGGAGACACCGUCGCUGCUCGAACGAAGGAACGAGAGGAAUAUCCCUGUCUCCGGGGUCGAUCUCCAGCGCCCCUCCUAGCACGAAAGCUGCAGCAGAGAUCAGAGCUGUUUGCUUUGCUGUGAUUACAUGGACGCGCCAGCUGGCCUGAUGGGCUGGAAAUCCCACGCCCGCCCAAAGGUCACGCUUGCAAGAGAGAGGCGCCUCUACCCUUGGGUCCUCUCAGCCUCCAGAAAUUCCAUGGCUAGCAGGGACCAUUGUGAUCAUCUAGUCUGACCCUUAAAACACAGGCCCGAGAACUUCCUCAAGAUAAUUCCCGGAGCAGAUCUUUUAGAAAAACAUCCCAGCUUGAUUUAAAAAGUGUCAAGUGAUGGAGCAUCCACCACGA